rnacentral:lncRNA from 1 species
GAAUUUCUCCAACAAAAUCAUUGUUGCUCAAAUCCAACAUUUUCAAUCUAUUAUGCAAUUGAAAUAACUCAUGUGGUAACUCACCAUGGAAACUAUUGCCAUGUAGAUCAAGAACAACAAGGAAAGAGAGAUUUCCUAAUUGAGGAGAAAUGUUACCUUCAAGGCCCAUGUUACUAAGAUUCAAUGCAUUUACUCUUCCAUGAUGUUCAUCACAAGUAACACCAACCCAAUUGCAUGAAGAGAAAGAAGAAGCAGAAGUGGAAAUUGACCAAUUACUAAGAAUAUGAUAAGGAUCUAAGGUAAUUGAGGAUUUGAAUGCAAGAAGUGAAAAUUCAUCGGUGGU